UAAAACGUGCUGACCUAACCUGCC
rnacentral:siRNA from 1 species